rnacentral:rRNA from 1 species
CCUACGGGAGGCAGCAGUAGGGAAUAUUGCUCAAUGGGGGAAACCCUGAAGCAGCAACGCCGCGUGGAGGAUGAAGGUUUUCGGAUUGUAAACUCCUUUUGUUAGAGACGAUAAUGCCGGUAUUUAAAGAAUAAGAACCGGCUAAUACUGUGCCAGCAGCCGCGGUAAUACGGAGGGUGCAAGCGUUACUCGGAAUCACUGGGCGUAAAGAGCGCGUAGGCGGGAUAGCAAGUCAGAUGUGAAAUCCUAUGGCUUAACCAUAGAACUGCAUUUGAAACUGUUAGUCUAGAGUGUGGGAGAGGUAGGUGGAAUUCUAGGUGUAGGGGUAAAAUCCGUAGAGAUCAAGAGGAAUACUCAUUGCGAAGGCGACCUGCUAGAACAUAACUGACGCUGAUGCGCGAAAGCGUGGGGAGCAAACAGGAUUAGAUACCCGAGUAGUC